UGGAAAAUUGGUGUCAUGGCCUCCUUAAA
rnacentral:piRNA from 1 species